GAUGUUACCCCCAUUUUGGCAGAGUAAUUUGAUGUUAUAUUUGAUAAAUUAUUAUGUUUGCAUGAUGAUUUUCCUAUAGUUAAUAGGAUGAAAUAAGGAUAAACCGGCCUGCCUAGAGUAGGUGGUAAAACAUGGUGGCAGCAAGCCCCCUUGUCACUGUCUUGAUUUGGCUUAGGUUAAAACUGUUUUAAUUUGGCUUAGUUCAAACUGCCUUAGUUCGGCUUAGGGUCAAACUUAUCUCAAUAAAAGAAAUUACAGUUGAAUGAACUAGAUAUCAUAAUAAACUAUCAUAUAUUCUUUCAUUCUCUUUUCCUCACAAGUUGUAUUUUCUUCCUAUAAUUUUUUCCCACUCUUUGUUUUAUUCCAUGUCCUU
rnacentral:misc_RNA from 1 species